GAUCUUUUGCAGAGAAAUCUAAGGACCAAGCCACAAGAGUGAAACCACCAGGUGGAAGAAACUAGAUUUCCUGAAUGACACAUGGAAGACAGCCUGUCAAACAGGGAUAUUUCCUGAACACAUGACACUUUGCUGGACAAAAAGGAAAAAUAUCUGGGUGGGAGAAACAGGGUGGGGCCUCUGAAGCCUGCAUUCCGCUAGCUACUGGAUUUCCUUGAAAAUAGCAAGCUGUUCUCAAGAACUCCGAAUUAAAGUGCCUCCCUCACACUGCACUCAGGGUGCCUUUCUGAGAGAAUUGAAAGCAGAAAGAUGUGGGAGCUAAGAGCUAAGCUGAACAAAAGGAAACAUCAGCAGAGCAAUUCUGGAUCAGACCAGCCUGGGUUUGAAUCCUGAGUAAGGAAAUCAUAACACAGGGAGAGAGAAGAAGCCAAGGUGAGCAGAAGCUAGGUUCCCAAGCAGGGGCCUGAGGUAAGGUAGA